AAAUAGGCUCCAUUAGGAGCCACUGUUAUUUUAAAGUGCUUAAGAG
rfam:Pelodiscus sinensis unplaced genomic scaffold scaffold1277, whole genome shotgun sequence.